GCCUGCCGCCACCUGAUGGAAGAUUCGAUGGAUGUGGAUAUGAGCCCCCUGAGGCCCCAGAACUAUCUUUUCAGUUGUGAACUAAAGGCCGACAAAGAUUAUCCACUUUUAUGAAAAUGAGCACCAGUUAUCUUUAGGAACGGUCAGUUUAGGGGCUGGUGCAAAGGAUGAAUUGCACAUUGUUGAAGCAGAGGCAAUGAAUUACGAAGGUAGUCCAAUUAAAGUAACACUGGCAACUUUGAAAAUGUCUGUAUAGCCAACGAUUUCCCUUGGGGGCUUUGAAAUAACACCACCAGUGGUCUUAAGGUUGAAGUGUGGUUCAGGACCAGUGCAUAUUAGUGGACAGCACUUAGUAGCUGUGGAGGAAGAUGCAGAGUCAGAAGAUGAAGAGGAGGAGGACAUGAAACUCUUAAGUAUAUCUGGAAAGCGGUCUGCCCCUGGAGGUGGUAGCAAGGUUCCACAGAAAAAAGUAAAACUUGCUGCUGAUGAAGAUGAUGAUGAUGAUGAUGAUGAUGAUGAUUUUGAUGAUGAGUAACCUAAAGAAAAAGCAUCAGUGAAGAAAUCUAUAUGAGAUACUCCAGCCAAAAAUGCACAAAAGCCAAAUCAGAAUGGAAAAGACUCAAAACCAUCAUCACACCAAGAUCAAAAGGACAAGAAUCCCUCAAAAAACAGGAAAAAACUCCUAAAACACCAAAAGGACCUAGUUCUGUAGAAGACAUUAAAGCAAAAAUGCAAGCAAGUAUAGAAAAAGGUGGUUCUCUUCCCAAAGUGGAAGCCAAGUUCAUCAAAUAUGUGAAGAAUUGCUUCCAGAUGACUGACCAAGAGGCUAUUCAAGAUCUCUGGCAGUGGAGGAAGUCUCUUUAAGAAAAUAG